rnacentral:rRNA from 1 species
CCUGGGAAGUACGUACGCAAGUAUGAAACUUAAAGGAAUUGGCGGGGGAGCACCACAAGGGGUGAAGCCUGCGGUUCAAUUGGAGUCAACGCCAGAAAUCUUACCCGGAGAGACAGCAGAAUGAAGGUCAAGCUGAAGACUUUACCAGACAAGCUGAGAGGUGGUGCAUGGCCGUCGCCAGCUCGUGCCGUGAGAUGUCCUGUUAAGUCAGGUAACGAGCGAGAUCCCUGCCUCUAGUUGCCACCAUUACUCUCAGGAGUAGUGGGGCGAAUUAGCGGGACCGCCGCAGUUAAUGCGGAGGAAGGAGGGGGCCACGGCAGGUCAGUAUGCCCCGAAGCUCUGGGGCCACACGCGGGCUGCAAUGGUAGUGACAAUUGGUUCCGAAUCCGAAAGGAGGAGGUAAUCCUCAAACGCUACCACAGUUAUGACUGAGGGCUGCAACUCGCCCUCACGAAUAUGGAAUCCCUAGUAACUGCGUGUCAUUAUCGCGCGGUGAAUACGUCCCUGCUCCUUGCACACACCGCCCGUCGUUUCAUUGAAGUUUGCUUUUAGCGAGGUGACGUCUGAUUGGCGUUAUCGAACUUGAGGUAAGUGACAAGGGAAAAGUCGUAACAAGGUGACCGUAGGGGAACCUGCGGCUGGAUCACCUC